AUGGCAGACAAUGUUGAAACUAUAGUUGAAGUUGAAAACAACACUAAAGAAGAGGUUGUGGUUGCAGCUGAGGUCGGAAACAAGAGUGAAGGAGAGGUUGUAGUUGUAGCUGAAGCUGAAAACAACACUAAAGAAGAUGUUGCCGCGGAAGAUGAAUCCAACAUUUCAACUGAAGAUUCUGAGAAAAAUUCUGAGACUGAUUUGAAGGUUGCUCCUGCACAAGAGGAAGAUGACAAGAAGAAUUAA